rnacentral:rRNA from 1 species
GAUGAACGCUGGCGGCGUGCCUAAUACAUGCAAGUCGAGCGAACGGACGAGGAGCUUGCUUUUCUGACGUUAGCGGCGGACGGGUGAGUAACACGUGGAUAACCUACCUAUAAGACUGGGAUAACUUCGGGAAACCGGAGCUAAUACCGGAUAAUAUUUUGAACCGCAUGGUUCAAUAGUGAAAGACGGUUUUGCUGUCACUUAUAGAUGGAUCCGCGCUGCAUUAGCUAGUUGGUAAGGUAACGGCUUACCAAGGCAACGAUGCGUAGCCGACCUGAGAGGGUGAUCGGCCACACUGGAACUGAGACACGGUCCAGACUCCUACGGGAGGCAGCAGUAGGGAAUCUUCCGCAAUGGGCGAAAGCCUGACGGAGCAACGCCGCGUGAGUGAUGAAGGUCUUCGGAUCGUAAAACUCUGUUAUUAGGGAAGAACAUAUGUGUAAGUAACUGUGCACGUCUUGACGGUACCUAAUCAGAAAGCCACGGCUAACUACGUG